AUGGAAGCUUGCUUCCAGGCGUCGAGCGGCGGACGGGUGAGUAAUGCAUAGGAAUCUGCCCGAUAGUGGGGGAUAACCUGGGGAAACCCAGGCUAAUACCGCAUACGUCCUACGGGAGAAAGCAGGGGAUCUUCGGACCUUGCGCUAUCGGAUGAGCCUAUGUCGGAUUAGCUAGUUGGUGAGGUAAUGGCUCACCAAGGCUGCGAUCCGUAGCUGG
rnacentral:rRNA from 1 species